UACGGGGGGGGCAAGCGUUGUUCGGAAUUACUGGGCGUAAAGGGCUCGUAGGCGGCCAACUAAGUCAUACGUGAAAUCCCUCGGCUUAACCGGGGAACUGCGUCUGAUACUGGAUGGCUUGAGUUCGGGAGAGGGAUGCGGAAUUCCAGGUGUAGCGGUGAAAUGCGUAGAUAUCUGGAGGAAUACCGGUGGCGAAGGCGGCAUCCUGGACCGGUAUUGACGCUGAGGCGCGAAAGCCAGGGGAGCAAACGGG
rnacentral:rRNA from 1 species